rnacentral:rRNA from 1 species
AUUGAACGCUGGCGGCAGGCCUAACACAUGCAAGUCGAACGAGUGGCGGACGGGUGAGUAAUGUCUGGGACACUGCCUGAGGGAGGGGGAUAACUAGUGGAAACGGUAGCUAAUCGCGCAAACCAGGGGAUAGGCCCAGAUGGGAUGAGCUAGUAGGUGGGGUAAAGGCUCACCUAGGCGACGAUCCCUAGCUGGUCUGAGAGGAUGACCAGCCACAAUGGAACUGAGACACGGCCCAGACUCCUACGGGAGGCAGCAGUGGGGAAUAUUGCACAAUGGGCGCAAGCCUGAUGCAGCCAUGCCGCGUGUAUGAAGAAGGCCUUAGGGUUGUAAAGUACUUUCAGUGGGGAGGCGUUACCCGCAGAAGAAGCACCGGCUAACUCCGUGCCAGCAGCCGCGGUAAUUC